rnacentral:rRNA from 1 species
GACGAACGCUGGCGGCGUGCUUAACACAUGCAAGUCGAACGGAAAGGCCCUGCUUUUGUGGGGUGCUCGAGUGGCGAACGGGUGAGUAACACGUGAGUAACCUGCCCUUGACUUUGGGAUAACUUCAGGAAACUGGGGCUAAUACCGGAUAGGAGCUCCUGCUGCAUGGUGGGGGUUGGAAAGUUUCGGCGGUUGGGGAUGGACUCGCGGCUUAUCAGCUUGUUGGUGGGGUAGUGGCUUACCAAGGCUUUGACGGGUAGCCGGCCUGAGAGGGUGACCGGCCAAAAUGGGAACGGGGAACGGCCCCAGCCCCCUAGGGGAGGCAGCGUGGGGGAUAUUGCACAAUGGGCGGAAGCCUGAUGCAGCAACGCCGCGUGCGGGAUGACGGCCUUCGGGUUGUAAACCGCUUUCGCCUGUGACGAAGCGUGAGUGACGGUAAUGGGUAAAGAAGCACCGGCUAACUACGUG